GACGAACGCUGGCGGCGCGCUUAACACAUGCAAGUCGAACGGAAAGGCCUGCUUUCCCUUGUGGACUGCGGGUACGCGAGUGGCGAACGGGUGAGUAACACGUGAGUGAUCUGCCCCCAACUUGGGUAUAAGCCUGGGAAACUGGGUCGAAUUCCCGAUUGGACUGCAGGGUGGUGCCUGUGGUGGAAAACGAUUUUCUAGUGGUUGGGGAUGAGCUCGCGGCCUAUCAGCUUGUUGGUGGGGUAAUGGCCUACCAAGGCGGCGACGGGUAGCCGGCCUGAGAGGGUGGACGGCCACAUUGGGACUGAGAUACGGCCCAGACGCCUGCGGGAGGCAGCAGUGGGGACUAUUGCACCGUGGGCGGAAGCCUGAUGCAGCGACGCCGCGUGGGGGAUGACGGCCUUCGGGUUGUAAACUCCUUUCGACCGCGAGGAAGCCACCUGGUUGGAAGGGUGGUGACGGUAGUGGUAGAAGAAGCACCGGCUAACUACGUG
rnacentral:rRNA from 1 species